rnacentral:rRNA from 1 species
CAUCUCUGAUCUCAGCUCAUGCAAGGAAACCCGCUGAAUUUAAGCAUAUUAUUAAGCGGAGGAAAAGAAACUAACUAGGAUUCCCUCAGUAAGGGCGACUGAAGCGGGAAUAGCUCAUUGUGUGAAUCGGUGUUUUAACACUGAAUUGUGGUCUACAGACUUUUACGUUAUUUGCCGGAUCAAGUCCCUUGGAAUAGGGCGGCUAAGAGGGUGAUACCCCCGUGAACCUGGCUUUUGGAGUAAAUGUCAACGAGUCGAGUUGUUUGGGAUUGCAGCUCAAAGUGGGUGGUAAAUUCCAUCUAAAGCUAAAUAUUGGUGGGAAACCGAUAGUGUACAAGUACCGUGAGGGAAAGAUGCAAAGAACUUUGAAAAGAGAGUUAAAGAGUACCUGAAAUUGCUGAAAGGGAAGCGAAGGAAACCAGUGUUAGCCAUGUCAUAUUUUUCUAUCUGCUUGCGGUGAGGACGCUGUGACAGGCCUAGUCAAGGUUGGUUASGUUGGAUUCAAAUGCGUAAAGGGAGUUGACCUUUUCAUGCUGGAUUUGACGCGACUGAGUUUUGACAAAAUGGUUUUCUUCUCCCCGUCUAGAAACACGGACCAAGGAGUUUAACAUAUGUGCGAGUACAAGGGUGUCAAACCCACGUGCGCAAUGAAAGUGACAGUGGCUGUAUUUUUGCACAGUCCGCCGGCCUCAAUCCCUCGGGAGAAUGGUCUGAGUGUGAGCAUACAUGUUGAGACCCGAAAGAUGGUGAACUAUGCCUGAAUAGGGUGAAGCCAGGGGAAACUCUGGUGGAAGCUCGUAGCGAUUCUGACGUGCAAAUCGAUCGUCAAAUUUGGGUAUAGGGGCGAAAGACUAAUCGAACUAUCUAGUAGCUGGUUCCCUCCGAAAUUUCCCUCAGAUAGCUGCGAUCGAAUGGCAAUUUUAUC